AUUGAACGCUGGCGGCAGGCCUAACACAUGCAAGUCGAGCGGCAGCGGAAAAGUAGCUUGCUACUUUUGCCGGCGAGCGGCGGACGGGUGAGUAAUGCCUGGGAAAUUGCCCAGUCGAGGGGGAUAACAGUUGGAAACGACUGCUAAUACCGCAUACGCCCUACGGGGAAAGCAGGGGACCUUCGGGCCUUGCGCGAUUGGAUAUGCCCAGGUGGGGUUAGCUAGUUGGUGAGGUAAUGGCUCACCAAGGCGACGAUCCCUAGCGGGUCUGAGAGGAUGAUCAGCCACAAUGGAACUGAGACCCGGGCCAGACUCCUGCGGGAGGCAGCAGUGGGGAAUAUUGCACAAUGGGGGAAACCCUGAUGCAGCCAUGCCGCGUGUGUGAAGAAGGCCUUCGGGUUGUAAAGCACUUUCAGCGAGGAGGAAAGGUUGGUAGCUAAUAACUGCCAGCUGUGACGUUACUCGCAGAAGAAGCACCGGCUAACUCCGUGCCAGCCGCCGCAGUAA
rnacentral:rRNA from 1 species